rnacentral:lncRNA from 1 species
UCAGAAGCAAGCACAGUUUGUCAGGUCUGAAGCCCCUAUGAUGGUAGGUGUCAAAUCAGUUGUAGCUAAUCUGUCCAGGGAGAGUACCAGCUUCAUUACACUUGUAUAGUCGAGUUCCUCCAGCAUUACCGCUGUUUAAUAGAACGUGAUUAGUCAUCACCGGGAAGAAGGCAUAUUAGCCGAGGAGGUAGUUACACGGCACGCUCCGGUGAUUGCCACGAUAUGAUUGCAGUGCGCCUAGCAGCAUCAUAUUAUCCUAGACGUGUCUCUCCAGCCCUUGGAGCCCUCCUUUCUAAAUUCACUGUCAUAAUUUAGUAUCUGUUUAAUUUUUCAGUCCAAAGAGAGGAAAUCAGUUGCUGGGUAUUAUUUGACUUCAGUCCCCUUACUUGGUGCAAAAACAAAAUGGAAAAUAAAUAAAUAAGUAAAUAAAGAGUCACUUGGAAAUUCUAAACGAAAUCAUGAAUUCGGCUGAAAACAGCUUUCAAAUAUGUUCCAAAACUAAAUACAUAAAAGACUUUUUUUUUUCUAAGAGAUUUUUCUGUACUUUGGCCACAACGGAUGUGUCAGGCCUCAGUCCACAAGGUCUGGAUUACCCAGGUUUCUGUCGUAGAUAAGAUGUGUGAAAAUCUAUUUGAAUAAAAGAAGUUCAUAAAUAUGC